rnacentral:rRNA from 1 species
GAUGAACGCUGGCGGCGUGCCUAAUACAUGCAAGUCGAGCGAACGGACGAGAAGCUUGCUUUUCUGAUGUUGGCGGCGGACGGGUGAGUAACACGUGGAUAACCUACCUAUAAGACUGGGAUAACUUCGGGAAACCGGAGCUAAUACCGGAUAAUAUUUUGAACCGCAUGGUUCAAUAGUGAAAGACGGUCUUGCUGUCACUUAUAGAUGGAUCCGCGCUGCAUUAGCUAGUUGGUAAGGUAACGGCUUACCAAGGCAACGAUGCAUAGCCGACCUGAGAGGGUGAUCGGCCACACUGGAACUGAGACACGGUCCAGACUCCUACGGGAGGCAGCAGUAGGGAAUCUUCCGCAAUGGGCGAAAGCCUGACGGAGCAACGCCGCGUGAGUGAUGAAGGUCUUCGGAUCGUAAAACUCUGUUAUUAGGGAAGAACAAAUGUGUAAGUAACUGUGCACAUCUUGACGGUACCUAAUCAGAAAGCCACGGCUAACUACGUG